GAUGAAGAACGUAGCGAAAUGCGAUACGUAAUGUGAAUUGCAAAUUCAGUGAAUCAUCGAGUCUUUGAACGCACAUUGCGCCCCCUGGUAUUCCGGGGGGCAUGCCUGUCCGAGCGUCAUUGCUGCCCUCAAGCACGGCUUGUGUGUUGGGCCCCGUCCUCCGAUCCCGGGGGACGGGCCCGAAAGGCAGCGGCGGCACCGCGUCCGGUCCUCGAGCGUAUGGGGCUUUGUCACCCGCUCUGUAGGCCCGGCCGGCGCUUGCCGAUCAACCCAAAUUUUUAUCCAGGUUGACCUCGGAUCAGGUAGGGAUACCCGCUGAACUUAAGCAUAUCAAUAACGGAGGA
rnacentral:misc_RNA from 1 species